UAAAUUCUCUACGUCACGUUAUUUGGUAAAAAUAUGAAUCGACGAUCCGAUCGUUUGAUCGUCACCAAACUUUAAUACAUUAUGGUACGUAAUAUUUGAGGACCAUAGAAACCUAUGAAUCAGGAAUCCAACGUACGGAUCUUCCCGAAUUGAAUUUGUAAGUUCAUAAAAUAAAAUGUUGACUGCCACUUGAUUUUGGCAAUUGGCGGAGAUCUAACCGUUGGAUUGUAAUGAAACCUUAGGACGUUGUUCUAGAAACAUAAUGAGGAUCUUUGGAAGUUUCUGAUCGGAAAUUUGAAGAGCGGAUCUUCCGAAUCGAGUUACGUAGAGUUAUGGACCAUACCGUCGAUCUUUGACCGACGAUUGACUUUUGAUCAAUUAGUAUCAAAUCAUUCUAAAACGUCUUUAGGGAUGUGUUUUACGUAAGUUACAUGAUCUAUUGAUAAGGAUUCUGAGAUGUGGUUUAAAAAAUUGUCCUGGGCGCCGUUCGUCCGGGACGCCUCGAUGUACAUGCUAGGAAAAUGGUCGGGCGGACUCUAGGUGAGUGGAUCUUUUCCUUUUUAUCGA
rnacentral:lncRNA from 1 species